rnacentral:rRNA from 1 species
AACGACUCUCAGCAACGGAUAUCUUGGCUCUUGCAACGAUGAAGAACGCACCGAAAUGCGAUACCUAGUGUGAAUUGCAGAAUUCCGCGAAUCAUCGAGUCUUUGAACGCAAGUUGCGCCCGAGGCUUGUCCCGAGGGCAUGCCUGCCUGAGCGUCACCGC